CACGGGGGGAGCAAGCGUUGUUCGGAAUUACUGGGCGUAAAGGGUGCGUAGGCGGCGCGGUAAGUCGGGUGUGAAAUCUCGGAGCUUAACUCCGAAACUGCAUUCGAUACUGCCGUGCUUGAGGACUGGAGAGGAGACUGGAAUUUACGGUGUAGCGGUGAAAUGCGUAGAUAUCGUAAGGAAGACCAGUGGCGAAGGCGGGUCUCUGGACAGUUCCUGACGCUGAGGCACGAAGGUCAGGGGAGCAAACGGG
rnacentral:rRNA from 1 species